UCGGACAUGGUGUAACGGGAACACAUGCUCUUAUUCUGGGGCAGCAGAAAAAUUCAGAGGUGGUCGAGGGUUCGAAUCCCUCUGUCUGAC